rnacentral:rRNA from 1 species
GAUGAACGCUGGCGGCGUGCCUAAUACAUGCAAGUCGAGCGAACAGACGAGGAGCUUGCUCCUCUGACGUUAGCGGCGGACGGGUGAGUAACACGUGGAUAACCUACCUAUAAGACUGGGAUAACUUCGGGAAACCGGAGCUAAUACCGGAUAAUAUAUUGAACCGCAUGGUUCAAUAGUGAAAGACGGUUUUGCUGUCACUUAUAGAUGGAUCCGCGCCGCAUUAGCUAGUUGGUAAGGUAACGGCUUACCAAGGCAACGAUGCGUAGCCGACCUGAGAGGGUGAUCGGCCACACUGGAACUGAGACACGGUCCAGACUCCUACGGGAGGCAGCAGUAGGGAAUCUUCCGCAAUGGGCGAAAGCUUGACGGAGCAACGCCGCGUGAGUGAUGAAGGUCUUCGGAUCGUAAAACUCUGUUAUUAGGGAAGAACAAAUGUGUAAGUAACUAUGCACGUCUUGACGGUACCUAAUCAGAAAGCCACGGCUACUACGU